rnacentral:misc_RNA from 1 species
AACGCACAUUGCGCCCCCUGGUAUUCCGGAGGGCAUGCCCGUUUCAGAAUCAUUAAGUAUCUCACACUGACCUUUCUGGUGUGCAAACAUCAGGCUGGCGAUGUGUGGAAUCUGGAUGUUUUUGUGCCUGUCCAGGUGCAAUCAUCUGAAAAUGAUUGUUCGUGCUGCUGAUGUGCUCUGUCAGCCCUCGAAGUGAAACAAACAAAAGAAUCGCUUAGAGGCUGGCCGGAGUGGGUCACAAGCAAAGUACACUAACCAACAACACGGAUGGGGAGCUCGCUUAGAGCCUUCAUCCGAUAACUUGGUCUGAAAUCGGGCAAGAAAACCCGCUGAACUUAA